rnacentral:misc_RNA from 1 species
GGGGAUAACUACCCUUUAUGGUUUAAUACAUAAUAUGCAUAAUAUUGCACUGAUGUGUUAAUACAUGUAUGUAUUAUCACCAACCCAUUAUUUUAACCAUAAAGCAAGUACUAAAUAUUAGGCUAUACAUAAAGCAUAAUAACAGGUUCCAGAAAUAAGACCAUCUAACCAAGAAAAAUAGAUUAAUUCCCUUAAUAAGUCGACCUCACAAUUUUCCUUGAAUAAACAACUAAUAUCGCGUUAAAACAUAUUAAUGUAGUAAGAAACCACCAACCUAUUAUAUAAAGGUACAUCAUGCAUGAUAGGGUCAGGGACAAAAAUCGUGGGGGUAGCACAAUAUGAACUAUUACUGGCAUCUGGUUCCUAUUUCAGGAACAUAACUGUAGUAUUCCACCCUCGGAUAAUUAUACUGGCAUCUGAUUAAUGGUGUGGUACAUAUGUCUCGUUACCCACCAUGCCGGGCGUUCUCUUAUAUGCAUAACGUUCUCUUUUUCUUUUUCCUUUUCAUCUGGCAUCUCAGAGUGCAAGCUAAAGAUUGCUGUUUAAGGUGGAACAUAUUCCUUGUAUGUGAUAUAUGAAAAUUAAUUAUUGAAAGACAUAAAUUAAAAAUUACAUAUUGUUAUAUCAAGUGCAUAACAUAUUCAUCUCUUGUUCAACUUAUCCUUACAUAGUGUCCCCCUUUGGUUUUUGCGCGACAAACCCCCCUACCCCCCUACGCCCAACGAAUCCUGCUAUCCUUGUCAAACCCCUAAACCAAGGAGGACUCAAGAACGUGUAGACCAACAAGUUGAGAUAUGAAUUGGCAUCCC